CCGUUCUCCAUCAGCUGGUAUCAGAAUCAAUACGUUUCGGGAAAAAACAUCACGUUUUCAGUGACAAAGGAAAUGGGAGGCGCAGUUGAUGAAAACCGGAAUCAGAACCUGGAGGGAAGCACGUCGGAACUAACUGAUUUACAUACUCUACUCGUCGUGCUGCAGACGACAACAUAAUCUUUGAUCCAACAACUAGGCGACACUUUGACAGUUCACCUGGACGCCUUAACCACAGAAUUGACGACUCGCUUGGACCGUCAAAUCCAGCACGUUAUUCAUGCUCCACCACCGCCAGCUCAGCAACAAUUUUCUCCACAGCAUCAACUACGACAACAAAACCAACCGACACACCAACAUCGACAUCAACAUCAACUUCCUCCACCACACCAACAGGACCGUUAACAACAAUUCCUUCCGCCCCA
rnacentral:lncRNA from 1 species